rnacentral:misc_RNA from 1 species
UUUCCGUAGGUGAACCUGCGGAAGGAUCAUUAUUGUAUAACGGAGGUGCGAGGGCUGUCGCUGACCCGAAAGGUCGUGCACGCCCGAAUCUCUUCACUCACAUCUGUAUUACCCCUAUGUGAACCACCGCGUGGGUCCCCCUUUGGCUUUUUCAGAGGGGGGUUUACGUUUUCACACAAACUUUGUAUGCAGUGAAGAAUGUAUUUUUUGUUUUUGCGAUCACGCAAUCAAUACAACUUUCAACAACGGAUCUCUUGGCUCUC